rnacentral:rRNA from 1 species
AUUGAACGCUGGCGGCAUGCCUUACACAUGCAAGUCGAACGGCAGCACGGGGGCAACCCUGGUGGCGAGUGGCGAACGGGUGAGUAAUGCAUCGGAACGUGCCCAGUAGUGGGGGAUAGCUCGGCGAAAGCCGAAUUAAUGCCGCAUACGUACUGAGGUAGAAAGCGGGGGACCGAAAGGCCUCGCGCUAUUGGAGCGGCCGAUGUCGGAUUAGCUUGUUGGUGGGGUAAUGGCCUACCAAGGCGACGAUCCGUAACUGGUCUGAGAGGACGACCAGUCACACUGGGACUGAGACACGGCCCAGACUCCUACGGGAGGCAGCAGUGGGGAAUUUUGGACAAUGGGCGAAGGCCUGAUCCAGCAAUGCCGCGUGUGUGAAGAAGGCCUUCGGUUGUAAG